GGACCAGCAGCCGCGUCAGGUAAUCCUUGAGGUACUGGCAGGUCUCCUAGGGGCAGAGGCCAGGGAUCAGGGUCAGCUGCCUCAGCCCACAGGCCCAGAUGGAAACUCUAUUAACCUUCCUUUAACAGCACACACAUGUGUAUCUGUACAUGAGUGCUUGAACCCUUACUGUUCCUAUUCCUGCUGAGAAGGGAAGUAGGGACAGAGAUGAACCCAGAAGGGCACAUAGGGAAGGAACUCUGUCUUCUCUACUGGGACCAGGAAUGCCUUGGGUGGGAGACUAGGUUUGUCCACCUUGAGGGUCAGCAGCUGAAAGCCCCAACUUUCUGCCUGGCCCCUGCACACUCCACUCUGGUAGGCUGGGUGGGGGCGCUUACUUACCGUGCUGGUGGUGUAGCCUGCAUCGCCCCAGAGGAUGACACCGGCCGCACCCAGGGCUGCACUCUCACCAAUGGUGGAGAUGAGAUCCAUCUGUGUGAGAGGGGGAUGGUCACUGGGGAAGACUGAGACCACAGGGUGAGGACCAGGCAGGCUGGACAGGCCCUCACCCUGUCUGACUUGCUGAUCCCCUCAGCCCAGUACCCCUUCCCACCCCCAGGCAGAGGCUGUUUCACUUUCUCAUUAGAUGUUCAAGUCAUUUGCACGCCUACUUUGGCCUCCGUUUCCCAAGCUAAUGACCCACUUGAGCUGAAGAUGUAUCUAUCAGGAUAAACCCCAAAGUCAGAAUGCCUAGUUCCAAGACGCUGCUUUGCCCUGGAUGUGCUGGGAAGCUUUGGGAAGAAGAGCGAGAACGUCAGGACUUUGUCUCGAACGCACUCUCCCAAGUUUGGUGGAGGCCCCACCGGGACAAAGGGGUGGCGGACCUCCCUCGGUGGCGCCGGCGGACCGGCCCUUCGCUCCGCAGCCACCGUGAAUGCGCCCCACACCGCCAGACGGGUCCCGGGAGGAGCUCACUCCCCCCUGGCCUUUGUGCUGGACCCCGCCCCCGCCCCGCACGUGGGGCCAGUGCCCGGCCGGGUGGGGGUUGGGUUCCUUGGCCGCCCCGCUGAGCGCAUCCCCUGGACUUCUGAACCCAACCUGAAGGAAGAAAGCCGCUAGGCUUGCACUGCCCGCCCUCACCUCGCGCGGGGCGCUGCCGGGACCCACGCCAUGGCCACUGCCAUCCCCGGCCCAGCCCGGCCCGCUCCGGCCGCUAGCCCAGGCGCAGCCCAGGCUCCGCGCCUCUGCUGCUCCGCCCCGCCCCCUCCCCACCCCGGCCCGCGGGCCCUUUAAGAAUCCAGCGCGGAGGUGGGCCUGGGGCAGGACUUGUGGCCGGGGCGGGAAUGUGUUCUCGACUUUCGCGCAGCCAGUGCCACGUUUCAGGCUCCAAGGCCCCCAGAUUCUUCCCCGAGUAACGUGGCCAUCCAUCUGGGGCCGUGAGGCCCUCCGAACAGGGCUUUCUUCUGGAAUCUUAGGUGCUAGUGCCAGUCAGCCCAAAGUUUCCUCCCCCACCAGCUCACUGUCGGUGGUACAGUCCUCCCCGCUCCGCCGCGCGACCAGCCGCUUAAAGGGACAGCGUAAGAGUCGGCAGUCGCGCAGGGAAUAAAGAAGAAGGUAUUCCUCC